CCCAUCAAGCCCAUCAUUAUCGAGACUGGAUCAGAACUGCUGUAGCUUGCAGGAUAAAAAAGAGCUUCCACUGGGACAGCAGGAGAACAAAAUGACAGACUGUUACACUACGGACAGAACAUAUUUGGCCUAAUAAAAACAAAGUGUUGAAGAAAUUCAGCAGAGUCCCAUUGGGGAGGAGAGAUAAGAGGCACCUGGCAACUUCACUUCAUCCACUGGCUGGAAAUGAGGAGACUUGGAAGCACAUGGCAUUUGGGAGCACAAAAGCAAUGCUGGGCAGAUUGAACUUAAUAAAUUUCUAGAAUUAAUAUUGGGAAAUGUUCAUUCAAUAAGGC